AUUGAACGCUGGCGGCAGGCCUAACACAUGCAAGUCGAACGAGUGGCGGACGGGUGAGUAACGUCUGGGAAACUGCUCGAUGGAGGGGGAUAACUACUGGAAACGGUAGCUAAUACCGCAUACCAUUGGAUGUGCCCAGAGGGGAUUAGCUAGUAGGUGGGGUAACGGCUCACCAAGGCAACGAUCCCUAGCUGGUCUGAGAGGGUGACCAGCCACACUGGAACUGAGACACGGUCCAGACUCCUACGGGAGGCAGCAGUAGGGAAUAUUGCACAAUGGGCGCAAGCCUGAUGCAGCCAUGCCGCGUGUAUGAAGAAGGCCUUCGGAUUGUAAAGUACUUUCAGCGGGGAAGCGUUACUCACAGAGGAAGCCCCGGCUAACUCCGUGCCAGCAGCCGCGGUAAUAC
rnacentral:rRNA from 1 species